GGGACAUUUAUUUUCUCUUUUUGUAAUUUCUUUGGUUGAAGGUGCUUAGAGGGAAACAUUAGAAACCUCUUUUGUUAUAGCAUCUUUUAGGCUUUAGUUAGGAGCUUUAGGAAGGGGGGUGUAUUAGUAGAUAGGUGUAGGAGUAUAAUAGGAGGUGCCAAAGUGAAGGAAAAGGUCACACCUUCCUCAUGCCUUGUAAAUAGGCGUCGGUUCUAGUUUAUUUUAGGGGGGAAAUUUGAAUUGUUUAGCUUGCAUUUUCAGCACCUUAGGCUAUAAAUAGAGGUGCUUCCUUUGUAAAUUUCAGAUUUGAAUUUUAGAGAAAAGAAACUAUACUCAAAUUUUGAGUGAUCAUUGGAGAGCUUUUGAGCCUUCUUCUCUAG
rnacentral:lncRNA from 1 species